rnacentral:tRNA from 1 species
GGCUGUAUAGCCUAAUUCAAGGCAAUUGAUUUGCAUUCAGUUCAUGUAUUUUAUACUACAGCCA